UAGGGAAUCUUCCACAAUGGACGCAAGUCUGAUGGAGCAACGCCGCGUGAGUGAAGAAGGUCUUCGGAUCGUAAAGCUCUGUUGUUGGUGAAGAAGGAUAGAGGCAGUAACUGGUCUUUAUUUGACGGUAAUCAACCAGAGAGUCACGGCUAACUACGUGCCAGCAGCCGCGGUAAUACGUAGGUGGCAAGCGUUGUCCGGAUUUAUUGGGCGUAAAGCGAGCGCAGGCGGAAUGAUAAGUCUGAUGUGAAAGCCCACGGCUCAACCGUGGAACUGCAUCGGAAACUGUCAUUCUUGAGUGCAGAAGAGGAGAGUGGAACUCCAUGUGUAGCGGUGGAAUGCGUAGAUAUAUGGAAGAACACCAGUGGCGAAGGCGGCUCUCUGGUCUGCAACUGACGCUGAGGCUCGAAAGCAUGGGUAGCGAACAGGAUUAGAUACCCUGGUAGUCCAUGCCGUAAACGAUGAGCGCUAGGUGUUGGGGACUUUCCGGUCCUCAGUGCCGCAGCAAAC
rnacentral:rRNA from 1 species